rnacentral:rRNA from 1 species
GGUUAAAACUCAAAUGAAUUGACGGGGGCCCGCACAAGCGGUGGAGCAUGUGGUUUAAUUCGAUGCAACGCGAAGAACCUUACCUACUCUUGACAUCCACGGAACUUGCCAGAGAUGGCUUGGUGCCUUCGGGAACCGUGAGACAGGUGCUGCAUGGCUGUCGUCAGCUCGUGUUGUGAAAUGUUGGGUUAAGUCCCGCAACGAGCGCAACCCUUAUCCUUUGUUGCCAGCGGUCCG